rnacentral:rRNA from 1 species
GACGAAGGUGGCGAGCGUUGUUCGGAAUCACUGGGCAUAAAGCGCACGUAGGCGGCGACGUAAGUUGGGUGUGAAAUCCCUCGGCCCAACCGAGGAACUGCGCCCAGUACUGCGUUGCUUGAGGAUCCAAGGGGUGCAUGGAAUUCCCGGUGGAGCGGUGAAAUGCGUUGAUAUCGGGAGGAACACCUGUGGCGAAAGCGGCGCACUGGACCAUAACUGACGCUGAGGCGCGAAAGCUAGGGGAGCAAACAGG